rnacentral:rRNA from 1 species
GAUGAACGCUGGCGGCGUGCCUAAUACAUGCAAGUCGAGCGAACAGACGAGGAGCUUGCUCCUCUGACGUUAGCGGCGGACGGGUGAGUAACACGUGGAUAACCUACCUAUAAGACUGGGAUAACUUCGGGAAACCGGAGCUAAUACCGGAUAAUAUAUUGAACCGCAUGGUUCAAUAGUGAAAGACGGUUUUGCUGUCACUUAUAGAUGGAUCCGCGCCGCAUUAGCUAGUUGGUAAGGUAACGGCUUACCAAGGCAACGAUGCGUAGCCGACCUGAGAGGUUGUCCGGCCCACCGGGACCUGAGCACCGUUCCAGCCUCCUACGGGGGGCAGCAUUAGGGAAUCUUCCGCAAUGGGCGAAAGCUUGACGGAGCAACGCCGCGUGAGUGAUGAAGUUCUUCGGUUCGUAAAACUCUUUUAUUGGGGAAGAACAAAUGUGUAAGUAACUAUGCCCGUCUGGACGUUACCUAUCAGAAAGCCACGGCUAACUACGUG